UACAGAGGUCCCGAGCGUUGUUUGGAUUCACUGGGCGUAAAGGGUGCGUAGGUGGUGAGGUAAGUCGGAUGUGAAAUCUCCAAGCUCAACUUGGAAACUGCAUUGGAAACUACCUUGCUAGAGGAUUUGAGGGGGGGAUUGGAAUACUUGGUGUAGCAGUGAAAUGCGUAGAUAUCAAGUGGAACACCAGUGGCGAAGGCGAAUCCCUGGAAAAUACCUGACACUGAGGCACGAAAGCUAGGGGAGCAAACAGG
rnacentral:rRNA from 1 species